rnacentral:miRNA from 1 species
UAUCAGCAAAAUGGAAACUAUGUGUAUAUAUAUAUAUGUGUGUGUGUGUGUGUGUGUGUGUUUACACAUAUAUAUAUGCAGAUACACACACAUAUGCACACAUAGAGA